UUAUUUCGAGCUGUCAGAAUGUUAUCGUUUAUGGUUGGCUAUCGUCUCUGUCUUUCACUGAUCAUUUAACAAGCGACACGCGCGAACGUUCUUAUCAAUCUUCUUCGUUUAUACGAGAAAUCACAAGGAGAAAUUCGCCCGAGUCAUGUCCGAGAGAAAGCAACGAACCAAAGAUUUAGAACGUAAAUUAGAACUCAAGAUAGAAAAAGAAUGGCAACGUUUGGUAGCGGCGCAACAAGAAUUAAGAGAGAAACGAGAGGAAUUGAAAAUCCUUCAAAUCCGAGUUAAUAAUCGCAACGCCGACGUUAAUCAAAACUCCAAGGCAUUGAGACAACAACGUGAUUAGAAUGAUUCUAAAUAGUCACGCUGAAACUUCAAGCUUGAUGAGCACACGUCAACGAUCGGGGUAAAAUGUUUAUAUUUUUGCGUAUAAAAUUAUUGUAAUAAUCCUAAUGAAAUACAUGUUAAGCAAUAUAA